GUAAAAAAAACUUCGCAUCUCAUCCACACACCGAACAGCCCCCGUCGAUGGCGCUCUAGGCUCGCCCGCCGCCACCCUGUCGCCGGCCCUGUUGCUCCCCCGCCCUGUCGCCGGCCGCGUCACUCCCCCGCCCCGUCGCCGUCGCUCCCCCGCCCCGUCGCCGUUGCUCCCCCGCCCCGUCGCCGACCCUCUCCCGCCACCCUAUCGCCGGCCCCGUCGCUCCCUCUACUGCAAGAGAUCCGGCCACCCCGACCCGUCCCUACAAGACCAGCACCGCGGCUCCAUACCUCGCUGCCUCCAAGGAUGACGAGGAGGACGAGAUCCCUUUCCCACGUGCUAGGCCGCCCGUCACCAUCGGAAGUUCACAACAACGACGGAUGUCCAUGUGGAUGAUCUACUCCUAGCAGCGCCCCUGUUCUGUAACAUCUUUUGACCCAUAUUGAGAGAGGUGUCCUUUAUUAUAGUACUCAACUGCAAUUCCAAGAAGCAGCUAUCUAAGGCAGGUGAGGAUGAAUGAAGGAUUUGGCCAGGAACUCAAUCAGACCAUUGGAUUGAAGCUGAAGGGGACAAUGCAAAGAUAUGAAGGGAUGGCCUUUCGUUCAGAACCUGGUCUUUUGUUUGAAAGGGUCUAGCUUUUACUGUGGACUAAUUAUCAUGAUCUUAUUUUGGAGUGAUGGAUUAUUACAGAUAUUAGUGGUCGAAUUCGGUGGCGUCGGAUGCUGGCAGGUCACGGGGUUAGAGCAAAGGAACUUGACGCGGUGUUCUAAACUCAGGCGGUCAUGGUCAUUGACUAGGUGUUGAAGGGCUUGGUGGCAAUUCUCACGGAGUAAGAAUAUGCGUGCAAGCGCUCAUUUCUCAUAUGCCUGCCCACUCCUCCCUUUCAUGAAGCUUUCUUUUAUUUCUCAAAAAUUUCUCUGAAUUUGCAAUGUGUAGCUCUGACAAAGAAAUAAGAGGAAUAAGUUAUGGCAAGGUUUUGGUGAAGAGCAUUAUUUCCCUAGCUUGUGAAAAUUUUGGUCCUCUGACAUUGAUUUCAUGAUUUGUGGUUACUGGUAAAUAUAUGACGUUGGUAAUUGAUCUCUUUGUGAUUGUUUGUGCGUCUGGUAUGCUAUUUCAGUUUAGAUUCUUCACCAUCAUUAAAGUUCCAUGGAUCAUUCAGCCUUAGUUUCUUCAAACCAGCCUUGCAAUCUCCAUGUUUCUUUUGAAAAUUGAACCACAUUACCAUUUCUUCUUCUGAAAAUUUUAUACUCAAGAUUACAAAUUUGGUAGGUAACAGUUCAACUCUAACUAUAUGUGUACCAUACCUACUGACUAAUAGCAGAGUCUAAUUCUUCCCAAGCAGUGGCUGUCAAUGUAGACUUGACAUGCAUAGUUUUACUUCGCGAAGCCAUUUUCUGAAUUUUUGGAAGUUGGUUGCACACCAUGAACUUCAGUUUUGUUAUAUUUUGGCAGCUAGUCCCUUCAGCUAUAUGAAUCCCUCAAGAAAAGUCCACGUAGCCAUAGACUCACAACUCAUAAUCAUUCAUAUGUGUUCUACAUAUUAGUUAGCGUUUCCUCUUUUUGUAUUUGGCAGACUGCCAGUAUGUAUGUACAUUUUGUAUGUGUUGACCAUGGACAGUUAGAUACCAAGGAUGUGUUUGGAUGUGAGGCAAGGGGCAGCUCUAGCUUAGCUAUGCAAGGUUAUCCAUUUGGUAAUCAAAGUAAAACUAGCUUCUGGAAGCAAUCUAGCCCUCAACUGCCAAGAAAACCUUGCUGAUGGAAGUUAGCCGAAUUGGCUCUCCCACACUAGCAAAAUUAGCCAUUAUCCAAAUAACUAGCCUUGCUUCUAGCGGCUCUUGCUGGAGCGGGCUAGAUAAUUCUAGCCCAGCUAAGCUAGGUGAGAUAGCUAUCCAAACACACCCGUAGUUUUAUUUUUGCAUUUGUGUAUUUUUUUUAUGCAUUUGUGUAUUUCUGAAUGCUUGAGUGCACAAAUAUGUAUAUUUUUUUGCAACUAUCACAAGGAAUGUUUUGUAGCUAUCCAAACGCACCCGCAGUUUUAUUUUUGCAUUUGUGUAUUUUUUUAUGCAUUUGUGUAUUUCUGGAUGCUUGAAUGCACAAAUAUGUAUUUCAUGGCACAAUUACCAGUUUUGUGUGCCAAUUUUCUGCAUUCCACUAUGCAAAGGUGCAUUAUAUCUCUCUACAUGAUGCAAGAUGCUUAUGCUUAUAUAGGCGGUGGCAUCUUAUGGGAAGGGAGCGGAGAAAGGGGAAUGAGGUGUUGUCGAGUGGGCGGGGUCUUUCUGCAGUCGCCUUAAGUUCCACAUCUACACACCAGUCGCCAUGGCUUGGUAGGGCCAAGUCAAAGAGGGAGUAAAAGAUUAAACUAGGAAGAGUUUAAGCCAGGCAAAACUGAAAUCGUAAUUCGCCAUAAUCUCUAUUCAGUUAAAUGACGAAGAGGACCCUCUUCGACCAUUCAGCCGCGAUGAAAAAAGUCAGGAUCCCAAGAAAAGUGCUUCUAGACACUAUGAUGGAGAAGCUUGGCCUUCCGAACGCAGUAUACUCAACACAGAAGGCAAGGACUGUUGGUCUUGAACACAGAAG